CCAAAAGUUAUAAAAAAACAAUGCUAAGUUUCGAGUUUUGCGUAGGCGGGCGACUAAUGUAACAGAUUAAAAAACUGAUACCAAAUGUAUUCUGUUUGAAACAAGUUUUGUUUCACUCUCUUUUCAAAGAAAAACCUGAGUCCACGCGUACAACUUUCCCACCGAUUGAGCUGCUGCUGUACCCCUACUAAAAACGGUCUUGAAUCCCUGGAGCUACGGGACUAUUUGGAAAAGCUCCGGCGUAAGAACACUCAAGCCUAUAUUGGUUUUGAUUACAUCCAGAGCUGAAGCUGGAGCGCGAGUAGGACUCGGUUAGCCGAGGAAGUGAAAGUAAGAAUGUCUUGCACAACUGUUUUUGAUUUAAACGAAGAUUGCUGGAUAGAGUUAAUGGAUUACCUGGACGUAGAAGACCAGGUAAGGCUCUCUUCAUUGCACGUGUGUAUCGGAGAGAUGGUCAAGAUAUACGCAAGCCAUCGGUACAAAAAUAUUGAUGCAUCGCUCACGGGAAGGAUUGGUGACGAAUAUCUGAAACAAUUGUUACGGAUCGUUGGUGAGCAUCUGGUUAGCUACGAGUCCGAAUGGGAUUAUAGUUCCAAUGGCGAUCAGCACCUGGGGGUCCUGCGGAGUCACUGUACGAAUCUUACACAAUUGAAAAUGUCCUUUCGACCGGGAAGGCGCGGAUGGGACGAUCUAUACAAGUUGAAAAAGCUCAAAUCCUUGAACGCUUAUCUGGACAUGGAGGAUAGCCUGUGUACGGAUUUUGUUUACAAUCUCAAACAAUUCACGUUUCUACGGAAACUGAAGUUGAAUGCUACCUCAUAUGGCGGAAGAGGAUUGCAUGUUCUUGAUCAACUGGAAUCUCUGGAUGUGUCUUCCUGUGGUGGAUUCGAUUCAAUGAGCUUGGUGGAUUGCUGCCAAACAAUGAAGCAAUUACGGUAUCUUAAAUUUGGAGGUAUUAGAAACAUCAGAAAGAACAGUUUCAAAAGUCUGGUGACGAGCUGGAAGCAGCUGGAAUGUCUGUCUUUUCUCGUAGACGUAGUCGAUUCAAAGUUUCCCUAUGAGCUCGUCUGCCAGUUGCCCAAACUGCAACAUUUGCAGGUGACUCAUAUCAUAUUUAUACACGACAAGUUCAUCGAAGGAUUGGUCAACAGACAGGGUUCUCCUCUAGAAAGCGUUAUCCUGGAGGGGUGGCCUGACAGAUUGUUUAAGGAUCAGGUUCAGCAUCUUUGCAAUAUUUCUACACUCAAGGAACUCGAAGUAUCCUGCGACACUCUUCCCUUAAAGGACUUACUAAACCUAAAGAACCUACUAUACCUGCACAUAUACAUGCCAAUUACGAAUGACCAACUUCUGGACCUCCUGAAAGGCCUUCCCCGCCUAAAAGUUCUCAAUUUACAAGAUAAUGCACAACUUAUAAUAGACAAUUCCUUUGUGAAUAGUGUUCGUACGUGCUUGACCGAACAGAGACAACAGCGCGGGAAGAUCACUAUCUAUCUCGGAUAUUUUCGUGCCACUAUAGACGACAUUUUUUAUUCCAGUCCUUUGUUUGAAAUCAAUAAGGGUUCAAUACAUCCUAUAUUAAUAAACAAAGAACUCGCUGAACGAGAUUAAAACUAACAAAUUCACCGAUCUUUUCCAGAAUAAUAUACCAAAAUGUCUUUAUGGGAGUUAAAUAAUGGAAAAGCAAUAAAUAUUGCCAAAAAAAACUUUGCAUUAUUUGUGCUUUACUCGGCUGGCUAUACGAAUUGAUCAAACCCGACGACUUUGCAGUAUUUUAACACUUUUCUGGCAGAUAUUUCUCUCUUAGUGCGAAAUGACAAGAAUAACGGCCAGCAACGUAACGGAGGCAAAGCACAGAGAAAAGAAGUAUACUAUACACAGGCAAUCUUCCGAUCAUACAAUGCGAAUAUUUCGUAGUCAAUUCAAUUCAAACUGACAAAAUACACCACAUUUCUACAAUUUCUACAAUACGUUUGUAUCAUGCUAAAUUUUGUUGUUUUUAUUUUGUGAAUUCCUUACUGGAAAUGUUUUUAAUGUUUCGGAUAUUCAAAAAUAAAAAUAUAGGUACUGCUUGUUUAAUACCAAUCAAACCUCGAUAUUGUUUGCAUAUUUUAGAAUAUACUGUACAAUACAAACGAUCAUAAAAAGCGUCAGUGAGGAUUACUAUGAAAUAAAAUGUAAAAAUUCAUACAAUUAUAGUUCCAGUUGCAUGCAAAGGUGAAAAUCGGAUCAAAAUAUCUUACGAUUGUUGUCAACGCGUUUACCGAUUUUAUUAUUGAACACAUUCACUUGAAUCCGAAUAAUCGAGAAGACGUUGGAACUUUUUAUUGGUGGCAGGAGUAUAGAUAUGAAAAGCUCUACCGAAAAAGUAAUCAACAGCUUCAAAAACCUACUGACAUUGCAUUCUACCAAGGGAUGAUUUAUAUGUUGUUCUGGAGUUCAAUCAAAUGGUGGAUAUGAAAUAUAUGAUUGCAAAUGUAGAUUUUAUUGAGGAAAUAUGACUUUACCUAAGGAUUGUUCAAAACCGGUUAGUGGAGGAAAGACAAUAUUUUAUUGCAGCUUUUGCGCCAAAUUUUCCGUCGAUCUCUGGAGUGUACGCGUGUAUGGUGGGGCGGUCCCUGUAAAUCUAAUGAGUUCAAUGGUUUCUUAAACCGUAGAAGAGAUCAUUUUGUGAUUGACAGAGGUGUGCUGAUAGGAACUAUUAACUUCAACUUAGGCAUUCAAUGAAUCUGAAGCUGUAUACGAAUAACAUAGAGAACAUUUAA